GACGAACGCUGGCGGCGUGCCUAAUACAUGCAAGUCGAGCGAAGUUUUUCUGGUGCUUGCACUAGAAAAACUUAGCGGCGAACGGGUGAGUAACACGUAAAGAACCUGCCUCAUAGACUGGGACAACUAUUGGAAACGAUAGCUAAUACCGGAUAACAGUAUUUCUCGCAUGAGAGAUAUUUAAAAGUUGGUUAUGCUAACACUAUGAGAUGGCUUUGCGGUGCAUUAGCUAGUUGGUGGGGUAAAGGCCCACCAAGGCGACGAUGCAUAGCCGACCUGAGAGGGUGAUCGGCCACACUGGGACUGAGACACGGCCCAGACUCCUACGGGAGGCAGCAGUAGGGAAUCUUCCGCAAUGGGCGAAAGCCUGACAGAGCAACGCCGCGCGAGUGAAGAAGGAUUUCGGUUCGUAAAGCUCUGUUGUUAGGGAAGAAUGGAUAUGUAGUAACUAUACAUGUAAGAGACGGUACCUAACCAGAAAGCCACGGCUAACUACGUG
rnacentral:rRNA from 1 species